AACUUUGGACAUUGGGGGAAACCCUGAUCCAGCAAUCCCGCGUGUGCGAUGAAGGCCUCCGGGUUGUAAAGCACUUUUGUCAGGGAAGAAAUCGUACAGGCUAAUAUCCUGUGCGGAUGACGGUACCUGAAGAAUAAGCACCGACUAACUACGUGCCAGCAGCCGCGGUAAUACGUAGGGUGCAAGCGUUAAUCGGAAUUACUGGGCGUAAAGGGUGCGCAGGCGGUUUAUCAAGAAAGGUGUUGAGUCCCCGGGCUUAACCUGGGAAUGGCACUUUUAACUGAUAGGCUAGAGGAUGUCAGAGGAGGGUAGAAUUCCACGUGUAGCAGUGGAAUGCGUAGAGAUGUGGAGGAAUACCGAUGGCGAAGGCAGCCCCCUGGGAUAAUACUGACGCUCAUGCACGAAAGCGUGGGGAGCAAACA
rnacentral:rRNA from 1 species